rnacentral:misc_RNA from 1 species
AAUGCGCUAUUGCAUCAGGCCUAGCUUGACUAAAAUCUUCUAACUCAACUAAGAUUUGCUGUCCAUGUGAAGAAAUUAACUGAAUUUUAAUCAUCUCUAGCUUGUAAAAUGAAGUUCCAUUUCCAAGGGUUUCAUCCUUCUCCAAUUCCUCUGGACAACUUGGGUUAUCUUGCGAAGAUUCAGUUUCAUGUUUGUGGCCAUUGACUUGAACACUACCAUUUUGCUUAUGUUCUGCCACUUGUUCCAUUUG